GCGGGUGUGGUGUACGGAACACACCUGCCUUCAAUGUUCAUUCAUAUUCCCUCGAAUUGAAGCAGCAGACCCGGGUUCGGCUCCCGGCGCCCGCA